CUACGGGCCGCUCCAGUGGGGAAUAUUGGACAAUGGGGGAAACCCUGAUCCAGUAAUGCCGCGUGUGUGAAGAAGGCCUGCGGGUUGUAAAGCACUUUCGGUUGGGAGGACUGCUUCUAGCACUAAUAUUGUUGGAAGUUGACGUUACCUUCAGAAGAAGCACCGGCUAACUCCGUGCCAGCAGCCGCGGUAAUACGGAGGGUGCAAGCGUUAAUCGGAAUUACUGGGCGUAAAGCGCGCGUAGGCGGCUAGAUCAGUCGGGUGUGAAAGCCCCGGGCUUAACCUGGGAACUGCAUCCGAUACUGUCUAGCUUGAGUACAGGAGAGGAGAGUGGAAUUCCACAUGUAGCGGUGAAAUGCGUAGAUAUGUGGAGGAACACCAAUGGCGAAGGCAGCUCUCUGGCCUGAUACUGACGCUGAGGUGCGAAAGCGUGGGGAGCAAAUAGGAUUAGAUACCCCAGUAGUC
rnacentral:rRNA from 1 species